UGGCAACUGUAACCAAGACAAAUGACCAUGUG
rnacentral:piRNA from 1 species